CUGGUUGUUAAGGUGAGAGGAGACAAACACGUACGUAGUCUGGUUGUUAAGGUGAGAGGAGACGACAACACGUACGUAGUCUGGUUGUUAAGGUGAGAGGAGACGACAACACGUACGUAGUCUGGUUGUUAAGGUGAGAGGAGACGACAACACGUACGUAGUCUGGUUGUUAAGGUGAGAGGAGACGACAACACGUACGUAGUCUGGUUGUUAAGGUGAGAGGAGACGACAACACGUACGUAGUCUGGUUGUUAAGGUGAGAGGAGACGACAACACGUACGUAGUCUGGUUGUUAAGGUGAGAGGAGACGACAACACGUACGUAGUCUGGUUGUUAAGGUGAGAGGAGACGACAACACGUACGUAGUCUGGUUGUUGAGGUGAGAGGCGACAACACGUACGUAGUCUGGUUGUUAAGGUGAGAGGAGACGACAACACGUACGUAGUCUGGUUGUUAAGGUGAGAGGAGACGACAACACGUACGUAGUCUGGUUGUUAAGGUGAGAGGAGACGACAACACGUACGUAGUCUGGUUGUUAAGGUGAGAGGAGACGACAACACGUACGUAGUCUGGUUGUUAAGGUGAGAGGAGACGACAACACGUACGUAGUCUGGUUGUUAAGGUGAGAGGAGACGACAACACGUACGUAGUCUGGUUGUUAAGGUGAGAGGAGACGACAACACGUACGUAGUCUGGUUGUUAAGGUGAGAGGAGACGACAACACGUACGUAGUCUGGUUGUUAAGGUGAGAGGAGACGACAACACGUACGUAGUCUGGUUGUUAAGGUGAGAGGAGACGACAACACGUACGUAGUCUGGUUGUUAAGGUGAGAGGAGACGACAACACGUACGUAGUCUGGUUGUUAAGGUGAGAGGAGACGACAACACGUACGUAGUCUGGUUGUUGAGGUGAGAGGAGACGACAACACGUACGUAGUCUGGUUGUUAAGGUGAGAGGAGACGACAACACGUACGUAGUCUGGUUGUUAAGGUGAGAGGAGACGACAACACGUACGUAGUCUGGUUGUUAAGGUGAGAGGAGACGACAACACGUACGUAGUCUGGUUGUUGAGGUGAGAGGAGACGACAACACGUACGUAGUCUGGUUGUUAAGGUGAGAGGAGACGACAACACGUACGUAGUCUGGUUGUUAAGGUGAGAGGAGACGACAACACGUACGUAG